GACGAACGCUGGCGGCGUGCUUAACACAUGCAAGUCGAACGGUAAGGCCUUUCGGGGUACACGAGUGGCGAACGGGUGAGUAACACGUGGGUCAUCUGCCCUGCACUUCGGGAUAAGCCCGGGAAACUGGGUCUAAUACCGGAUAGGACUGCGCGGUGCAUGCCGUGUGGUGGAAAGAUUUAUCGGUGCAGGAUGGGCCCGCGGCCUAUCAGCUUGUUGGUGGGGUAAUGGCCUACCAAGGCGACGACGGGUAGCCGGCCUGAGAGGGCGACCGGCCACACUGGGACUGAGACACGGCCCAGACUCCUACGGGAGGCAGCAGUGGGGAAUAUUGCACAAUGGGCGCAAGCCUGAUGCAGCGACGCCGCGUGAGGGAUGACGGCCUUCGGGUUGUAAACCUCUUUCAGCAGGGACGAAGCGUGAGUGACGGUACCUGCAGAAGAAGCACCGGCCAACUACGUG
rnacentral:rRNA from 1 species